UAAUACCAGCUCCUCGAGUGGUCAGGGCGUUUAUUGGGCCUAAAGCAUCCGUAGCCGGCUCAGAAGGUCUCCUGUUAAAUCCAACGGCUCAACCGUUGGCCUGCAGGAGAUACCGCUGGGCUAGGAGGCGGGAGAGGCGGACGGUACUCCGCGGGUAGGGGUAAAAUCCUUUGAUCCGCGGAAGACCACCAGUGGCGAAGGCGGUCCGCCAGAACGCGCUCGACGGUGAGGGAUGAAAGCUGGGGGAGCGAACCGGAUUAGAUACCCGGGUAGUCCCAGCUGUAAACGAUGCGAGCUAGGUGACACGACGCCUUCGGGGCAUCGUGGUGCCGCAGGGAAGCCGUUAAGCUCGCCGCCUGGGGAGUACGGACGCAAGUCUGAAACUUAAAGGAAUUGACGGACGUAGCUGA
rnacentral:rRNA from 1 species